UGGGGAAUAUUGCACAAUGGUGGGAACUCUGAUGCAGCGACGCCGCGUGAACGAAGAAGGCUUUCGAGUCGUAAAGUUCUUUUAUAUGGGAAGAUAAUGACGGUACCAUAAGAAAAAGCCCCGGCUAACUACGUGCCAGCAGCCGCGGUAAUACGUAGGGGGCUAGCGUUGUCCGGAAUCACUGGGCGUAAAGGGUUCGCAGGCGGAAAUGCAAGUCAGGUGUAAAAGGCGGUAGCUUAACUACUGUAAGCAUUUGAAACUGCAUAUCUUGAGAAGAGUAGAGGUAAGUGGAAUUUUUAGUGUAGCGGUGAAAUGCGUAGAUAUUAAAAAGAAUACCGGUGGCGAAGGCGACUUACUGGGCAAAUUCUGACGCUGAGGAACGAAAGCGUGGGUAGCAAACAGG
rnacentral:rRNA from 1 species